rnacentral:rRNA from 1 species
CAGCCGCCGCGGUAAUACGUAGGUGGCAAGCGUUGUCCGGAAUUAUUGGGCGUAAAGGGCUCGCAGGCGGUUUCUUAAGUCUGAUGUGAAAGCCCCCGGCUCAACCGGGGAGGGUCAUUGGAAACUGGGAAACUUGAGUGCAGAAGAGGAGAGUGGAAUUCCACGUGCAGCGGAGAAAUGCGUAGAGAUGUGGAGGAACACCAGUGGCGAAGGCGACUCUCUGGUCUGUAACUGACGCUGAGGAGCGAAAGCGUGGGGAGCGAACAGGAUUAGAUACCCCCGUAGUCCCUGUCUCUUAUAA